AUUGAACGCUGGCGGCGUGCUUAACACAUGCAAGUCGAUCGGUAACAGGUGUAGCAAUACAUGCUGACGAGAGGCGGACGGGUGAGUAAUGCUUGGGAAUCUGCCUAUUAGUGGGGGACAACCCGGGGAAACUCGGGCUAAUACCGCAUACGCUCUACGGAGGAAAGCCGGGGACCGCAAGGCCUGGCGCUAAUAGAUGAGCCCAAGUCGGAUUAGCUAGUUGGUAGGGUAACGGCCUACCAAGGCGACAAUCCGUAGCUGGUCUGAGAGGACGACCAGCCACACCGGAACUGAGACACGGUCCGGACUCCUACGGGAGGCAGCAGUGGGGAAUAUUGGACAAUGGGGGCAACCCUGAUCCAGCGACGCCGCGUGGGUGAAGAAGGCCUGCGGGUUGUAAAGCCCUUUCGGUGGGGAAGAAAAAUCUCGACCUAACACGUCGGGACCUUGACGUAACCCACUAAGAAGCACCGGCUAACUCUGUGCCAGCAG
rnacentral:rRNA from 1 species